rnacentral:lncRNA from 12 species
GGAGGGCACAUCCCUGCAGAGGGAGACUGGCCAGGAGCUCCUGGCACAGCAGCAGGAGUUGCACACGCAGGUGUGCUGGAGGAUCAGACCCAUCAGGAAGGCCGUGGCUCUCUGUGAAUCCCUUCCCUGUUUCUCUGCUCUAGGACAUUGCUGAUGGCACCCCUGGCCUGUCUGGACCUGAAGAAUGUGCUGCCCGUGCUGCACAUUCCCAUAUUAUUAAAAAACAAAUGCAUGCCCAGAAGAAGCACUACACCCAAUUGACCAAAAGAGA